GAUGAACGCUGGCGGCGUGCCUAAUACAUGCAAGUCGAGCGAACAGACGAGGAGCUUGCUCCUCUGACGUUAGCGGCGGACGGGUGAGUAACACGUGGAUAACCUACCUAUAAGACUGGGAUAACUUCGGGAAACCGGAGCUAAUACCGGAUAAUAUAUUGAACCGCAUGGUUCAAUAGUGAAAGACGGUUUUGCUGUCACUUAUAGAUGGAUCCGCGCCGCAUUAGCUAGUUGGUAAGGUAACGGCUUACCAAGGCAACGAUGCGUAGCCGACCUGAGAGGGUGAUCGGCCACACUGGAACUGAGACACGGUCCAGACUCCUACGGGAGGCAGCAGUAGAGAAUCUUCCGCAAUGGGCGAAAGCCUGACGGAGCAACGCCACGUGAGUGAUGAAGGUCUUCGGAUCGUAAAACUCUGUUAUUAGGGAAGAACAAAUGUGUAAGUAACUAUGCACGUCUUGACGGUACCUAAUCAGAAAGCCACGGCUAACUACGUG
rnacentral:rRNA from 1 species